rnacentral:rRNA from 1 species
UACGGGGGGGGCAAGCGUUGUUCGGAAUUACUGGGCGUAAAGGGCUCGUAGGUGGCCAACUAAGUCAGAGGUGAAAUCCCUCGGCUUAACCGGGGAACUGCGUCUGAUACUGGAUGGCUUGAGUUCGGGAGAGGGAUGCGGAAUUCCAGGUGUAGCGGUGAAAUGCGUAGAUAUCUGGAGGAACACCGGUGGCGAAGGCGGCAUCCUGGACUGACACUGACACUGAGGAGCGAAAGCCAGGGGAGCAAACGGG